rnacentral:rRNA from 1 species
GCGGACGGUGAGUACGCGNGGUAACCUGCCCAUACAGGGGGAUAACACUUAGAAAUAGGUGCUAAUACCGCAUAACAACAGAAAGCGCAUGCUUUUUGUUUGAAAACCAAGGUGGUAUGGGAUGGACCCGCGUCUGAUUAGCUGGUUGGCGGGGUAAAGGCCCACCAAGGCGACGAUCAGUAGCCGGCCUGAGAGGGUGGACGGCCACAUUGGGACUGAGACACGGCCCAAACUCCUACGGGAGGCAGCAG